UCGGGAAUUUUGUGCAAUGGGCGAAAGCCUGACACAGCAACGCCGCGUGAAGGAUGAAGUCCCUCGGGAUGUAAACUUCGUAAGAAUAGGAAGAAUAAAUGACGGUACUAUUUGUAAGGUCCGGCUAACUACGUGCCAGCAGCCGCGGUAAUACGUAGGGACCAAGCGUUGUUCGGAUUUACUGGGCGUAAAGGGUGCGUAGGCGGCAUAUCAAGUCACUUGUGAAAUCUCCGGGCUUAACUCGGAACUGCCAAGUGAUACUGAUGUGCUAGAGUGCAGAAAGGGCAACUGGAAUUCUUGGUGUAGCGGUGAAAUGCGUAGAUAUCAAGAGGAACACCUGAGGCGAAGGCGAGUUGCUAGGCUGACACUGACGCUGAGGUACGAAAGCUAGGGGAGCGAACGGGAUUAGAUACCCAGGUAGUCCCUGAGCGGGCUGGCAAGGCGCAU
rnacentral:rRNA from 1 species